rnacentral:lncRNA from 1 species
UACAACUUGCAAGAUCGGAUCUAAAACACACAUAUAUUGGUGACAACAUAAUAAUUUCAGAUCUGAAAUCAUGGCACUCAGGCCAUAGUGACAAGCAUUAAGCAUGGCAAAGUAGUAGCAACAUCAAAUCUCAGAACAUAGUGGAUACUAGGGAUCAAUCCCCAUCAAAACUAACUCGAUUACAUGAUAGAUCUCAUCCUACUCGUCACCGUCCAGCGAGCCUACGAAUAGAUUACUCACGAACGACGAAAAGCUUCAUGGAAUUGGAGAGGGAAGAAGGUUGAUGAUGACGAUGGUGACGAUUUCCCCUCUCCAGAGCCCAAGACAGACUCCAGAUCUUCCCUCCAGAUGAAGAACAGGUGGUGGCGGCUCCUCCGUAUCGAAAACGCAACGAAAACUUCUCUUUUUAUUUUUUUCUGGGAGGAAAGACAGCUUAUAGAGCUGGAGUUGGGGGCGGCAGGUGCGUGUGGGCCCCACAAGCCUGCCCACCGCCACCAGGGGGGUGGUGGCGGAGCAGGGGCUUGUGGCCCACUGGCCCACCCCCUCAGGUGGAUUCUGGGGCAGGUAUUUUUGAUAUUUUCCAAAACUGCUCCCCGUAAAUUUUCAGGACGUUUGGAGAACUUUGAUUUCUGCACAAAAAUAACACCAAGGCAAUUCUGCUGAAAACAGCGUCAGUCCAGGUUAAUUCCAUUCAAAUCGUGCAAAUGAUAGUCCAAAACAAGGGCAAAAGAGUUUGGAAAAGUAGAUACGUUGGAGAAGUAUCAACUCCCCCAAGCUUAAAACCUUGCUUGUCCUCAAGCAACUCAGUUGAUAAACUGAGAGAGAAAGAAAAACGUUGACAAACUCUGUUUGAUCUUGUUGUUGCAACUAUGUCUAACUCAUAACCAGAAUUUCAGCAAGAUCACAAGUUAACCACAUAAGCAAAUGACACAAAGGUCUCACGGUAAACUAAUAUCAAUUGCAAAAUCAGCUAACGAGCAAAUAAUAAUGAGUUUCAAAUACCAACACUUCAAUCAAAACAAGCAUGGAGCAAUAUGAAUAGGUGGUAUCUCGCUAGCUCUUUCUGAGACCGCAAAACAUAAAUGCAGAGCACUUUCACAGAUCAAGGGCUGACUAAACAUUGUAAUUUAUAGCAACGAAGAUCCAG